GUACUUCAUUUCAGAUGCCAUGCUGCCAAUGUUUUGCUCUUGAGCUGCUCUGAGAUAGGAGAUCGCAGAUGAAACAAAUAAAGGGACAUGACGCUCCAAAUCUAUCUCUACCGAUCCAAUUCAUCUCAGUAUCUAUUCUCCCAAUGUUUCUAAUGCAGAAAAGCGACUCUGGAGCAUAGUCAAGUCCAGAUCAUUAGACUCCA